rnacentral:rRNA from 1 species
GAUGAACGCUAGCGGCAGGCUUAAUACAUGCAAGUCGAGGGGCAGCGCAGUGUAGCAAUACAUGGGCGGCGACCGGCAAACGGGUGCGGAACACGUACGCAACUUACCCUUGUCUGGGGCAUAGCCCACCGAAAGGUGGAUUAACUCCCCAUAAGAUAGUGGUGUGGCAUCACACAGCUAUUAAAACUGAGGUGGACAAGGAUGGGCGUGCGGCUGAUUAGGUAGUUGGUGUGGGUAACGGCCCACCAAGCCUGCGAUCAGUAACUGGUGUGAGAGCACGACCAGUCACACGGGCACUGAGACACGGGCCCGACUCCUACGGGAGGCAGCAGUAAGGAAUAUUGGUCAAUGGGCGAAAGCCUGAACCAGCCAUGCCGCGUGGAGGAUGAAGGCCCUCUGGGUUGUAAACUUCUUUUACAGGGGACGAAACACUUCUAUUCUUAGAGGCUUGACGGUACCUUGGGAAUAAGCACCGGCUAACUCCGUGCCAGCCGCCGCAGUAACAC